CAAACGAUUAUGCAGCAGACAAAAAAAAACGCAGCAGUCACGCAUCAAUCUCAGGUACAACAGCAUCAAAUAACAGAUUCCUCCACCGACGGAACACAUUCUGACGCCGGGUUUCCUAAACGAGAAUAUUAUGAAUUUACGGAUAAUAUAACGGAAAAGGCACAAAAAUGACAGUAGUUAAGGAGGAAGAUAUUCGACUAAAACAAAUCCGGGAAAUCAUAUGCGAAAUGGUGUUAUGACUAGCUCACAAUACCGUACGAAAAAAGUGAUGUGAACACCGAGAUUCGUCGAAACAGUUUAUUUCGUUCAAUGGAGAAAAAUAUGAUUUAUUUAGAUAUCGAGAAAUUUUGGAUUGAAUUGUGCAGGUAAUGUUUUGGGAAUCCAUUGAAAGCUAUUGAAAUUGAACUGAAUGUGCAGGAAGAUUACACUGUAUCUAUAUUACCAUAUGGACUAACAACUACUUUCGGAUUUUGUAUAUGAGAACGUUUUCUUCUCAACGGUAAAGAAUGCGGAUAUAGAUAUUCGUACCUAAUUUUGAAUCAGUAAUUGAUCGUUUUUGAAUGACUGGUCGGUGAUUGUCAUCCGUCACCCCAUUCGCAUAAUAACAGGAUACAGAGGAUAUACAUAAUAAUCUUCAUGAUAAUGUCACUCGCUGUGUAAAUAUCAUGAUACCGAGCUCCAAGUGAUGAUUCAUCACUGACUGGUGUUCAUCAAUACCCUAUUGAAUCAACGAAAUAGCAGCCGGAUGAUGAGAGGGUAUUCACUCUGCAGGAAUAAGUUCAAUCAUUCGCUCAAGCACUUCACUUCAAAAUGAUAACAGGAAGAUUCUCUGGCAAGGCGGUCGACUGUUUUCUGUACGUAGUGCAUAAAAGAACACAUAUCGGUACUGAAGUAGUUCGAUCAGUGCAGGUUGAGUGAUUUUUUUGAAUCAGGGAUAUCAGUGAUCGACGUGAUAUUGCAUCAUGUGAUAUUCCUUAGAACCGGUUGCCGAGAUUGUGGCUUUACGGUCGUGAGCAAUCAUAAAAUAUCAUGUAAUCAGAAAGUUGUAGU